rnacentral:rRNA from 1 species
UACGAAGGGUGCAAGCGUUGUCCGGAAUUAUUGGGCGUAAAGGGCUCGUAGGCGGUCCGUCACGUCGGGAGUGAAAACUUGGGGCUUAACCCCAAGCCUGCUUCCGAUACGGGCGGACUAGAGGUAGGCAGGGGAGAGCGGAAUUCCUGGUGUAGCGGUGAAAUGCGCAGAUAUCAGGAGGAACACCGGUGGCGAAGGCGGUUCUCUGGGCCUUACCUGACGCUGAGGAGCGAAAGCGUGGGGAGCAAACAGG